rnacentral:rRNA from 1 species
UGAGGAAUAUUGGUCAAUGGACGCAAGUCUGAACCAGCCAUGCCGCGUGCAGGAAGACGGCUCUAUGAGUUGUAAACUGCUUUUGUACGAGGGUAAACCCGGAUACGUGUAUCCGGCUGAAAGUAUCGUACGAAUAAGGAUCGGCUAACUCCGUGCCAGCAGCCGCGGUAAUACGGAGGAUUCAAGCGUUAUCCGGAUUUAUUGGGUUUAAAGGGUGCGUAGGCGGUUUGAUAAGUUAGAGGUGAAAUACCGGUGCUUAACACCGGAACUGCCUCUAAUACUGUUGAGCUAGAGAGUAGUUGCGGUAGGCGGAAUGUAUGGUGUAGCGGUGAAAUGCUUAGAGAUCAUACAGAACACCGAUUGCGAAGGCAGCUUACCAAACUAUAUCUGACGUUGAGGCACGAAAGCGUCGGGGAGCAAACAGGAUUAGAUACC